ACAAUUCCUAUGGACAACCACGAGGUGGCGGCCAUCUUGUUCGCAUGAGCACAGACAGCAGUGUUUGGACAUGAAUCUCAUGGAACUAAAAUCGGACAAAGAAACUCCCAAACAUCUCUGGACUUCCAUCAUCACCUGCGUUCGUUUCUAUACAACUUAGAAGGGCACUGUUCGGUGAAAUUAUUCGUCCGGAUGAGUGGAACAAGCUCCAGGGUAAGACUAUUGACUCUAUUCGGUAGUUUGUUCGUUUUCAAACUACUGAACUAGACCGACCGCAAGCCCUGAUUCUCUGGAACUGUUUUGGGCAGGGGACCAUGCGGGCGUUUUUUUUGGAUAUGUUGGUCACCCAGAUCAGGGCUAUCAGGGGGUGUAUUUUUAUGGUACAUUUGGGGUGUUUUGAAAAAGUAUGCUUUUUCUGUGCUUGGAGAUAAUUGGAUUAGACUUAGUACAGUUACUGAUCCAAUUAUCUCCCAGGCAGAGGGGAAGGAUUGUAUGCUUGUAUAUGGGAGUGUCAUGUAUUUAAACACCUUUGUCAUUGGUCUGUGACUUUGUGCUGCAGUCCCUCACAAGGUCCAGGGGGGAGUGCCCCUUGCAUGGGGACAUGCAUAUAAGGCCAGUUAUGACUGCCAUUAAAGCAUUCCAGCUUGCACUCCAAAACUGUGUGUCGUCCUGUUAUUGGAGGGAAGGAAGAUUUAACCUCUGUUUCUGUUCCAGCUUGCAGGGGAUUCAACAGGGAAAAUCAUUGUAAGGAGUAGAGCUCCCUGGACUGAGUGUCGUUCAGUGCCUGGGUGUCUAGC